CAGUUUUCCAUUAGUAGCAAGGGAUUUUUUAUAUGCAUCAUCCAACAGAAUAACACAUACCACAGCCUUGAUAUACCAGUCAUGCUGCACAGGCUGGAAUGAAAAAUAACCCAAUGCAUCCACUAAUGGGGAUGGACCCUAGACAAAGAGAGAUCAGGUGAGAGCUUUACUACUAGGCUAUGUCUCGCCCCAAAUGUGUUACAGGCUUGGAGAUUAAUUAAACUUAACGGUAGUGACCAUUUUCACGGGUUGAACCUAAAAUCUGUGUCUAAAGUCAUAUCAAGGCCUUUUUGGAUUGGUUUUACUGCUCAUAUUUAAAUAUAUUCAUUGUAAGAUUUCAGUGAAUUUUUUUUUGUUGGUCUCACUGAACCACAGAAAACCUUUGUUGUUUUAAUGUGCAUGUAAAAAGGUGUUUCCUUGGGAGCCCCACAUGGUCGCACUGAUGAAAACAACAUAGUUGUUAAGGUGCCAAGCGUUCCUCUAUACAUGGUGAUGUAGACAGCUAGAGAUGUACCCAACAUAAGAUCCACUAGAUCUAGUAAGUGAGCACGUCGCUAGGCACAGAUCUGAGUGUCUUGUGAGACACUCACUAACACACACAACAUGGCAGGUACACACUUUUCUUUGAUGCACUGGAACCAAGAGGAGGGAGUGUACAGAAAGGAAGAUAUUCAGAACAAAAAUCCAGAUGUCUGUUGUACGAGGCGACUUGGUACUAGAAAGGAAUUGAAAGAAAAGCAAAGGAAUGUAUUACACAGUGUGGGUGUGGCUAUCUGGUAUAUAGAUGAUGAUUAUUUCUACACAUGGUCCACAGCAGAGAGGAAACCUGCAGCUGCCACAAAGGCUAUGGACAUAUUCUAAGAAAGUGAAAAGCAAUGUUAUCAACACUGGAGAUUCUGAUAAACUGAUGUGUCUGUGAGCAAGAGAAGACAAAGAUGAGCAUGCAACAGAAGUAUGGUGGUGGAUGUAAACGUGUUCACACAAGCACAAGAAGUCACUGUGUAAGCACAGUAAGACAAACUGUAUACUGUAAAUGAAAUACUUUGUAAACAAAUGAAGUAAACAAGAACUGGCUCCAACCUAGAGAUAACACUACCAGACUGACUGAAGGUGUAAGCCACUUCGACCAUUCUCCAUAACUGGUAUGGAGCUGGUACAUAAUUCAGACACAAAUCAAUAGCCCUGGUAUGUGCUGUCCUGGUUGUCAAAGAGUACAUAUAAAGGAUCCUAGCUGCUAAUCCUAAGUUGAAGCAAUACAAUACAAAACAAUACAAUACAAUCUUUAUUGUAACCUUUGUAUGUAUACAUUAGAAAAGGGAAAGGUUUCCCAUUAAAAGCAAUGUAAGGA